rnacentral:rRNA from 1 species
UACAGGGGGGUGCAAACGUUGCUCGGAAUUAUUGGGCGUAAAGCGCGCGUAGGCGGCCGCUUAAGUCGGAUGUGAAAGCCCCCUGGCUCAACUGGGGGAAGUGCACCCGAAACUGAGUGGCUUGAGUACUAAAGAGGGUCGCGGAAUUCCCGGUGUAGAGGUGAAAUUCGUAGAUAUCGGGAGGAACACCGGUGGCGAAGGCGGCGACCUGGGUAGAUACUGACGCUGAGGUGCGAAAGCGUGGGGAGCAAACAGG